ACGCACGCUGGCGGCGUGCUUAACCCCUGCAAGUCGCACGGAAAGGCCCUGCUUUUGUGGGGUGCUCGAGUGGCGAACGGGUGAGUAACACGUGAGUAACCUGCCCUUGACUUUGGGAUAACUUCAGGAAACUGGGGCUAAUACCGGAUAGGAGCUCCUGCUGCAUGGUGGGGGUUGGAAAGUUUCGGCGGUUGGGGAUGGACUCGCGGCUUAUCAGCUUGUUGGUGGGGUAGUGGCUUACCAAGGCUUUGACGGGUAGCCGGCCUGAGAGGGUGACCGGCCACAUUGGGACUGAGAUACGGCCCAGACUCCUACGGGAGGCAGCAGUGGGGAAUAUUGCACAAUGGGCGGAAGCCUGAUGCAGCAACGCCGCGUGCGGGAUGACGGCCUUCGGGUUGUAAACCGCUUUCGCCUGUGACGAAGCGUGAGUGACGGUAAUGGGUAAAGAAGCACCGGCUAACUACGUG
rnacentral:rRNA from 1 species